rfam:Gossypium raimondii Chr08_contig_1293, whole genome shotgun sequence.
CUAUGGACUUAAUUAGAUUGAGCCUUGGUAUGGAAACCUACUAAGGGUGGGUUUGGAUGGGCGGUGCGUUUACCUGCGGUUAUUAUAAAAACAGCGGUGGCGGUGAGAUUAGAUACUGUAGCGAUACUGUAGCGUGAGACAAAAAGUAAACUAAACACACCGCACCGCACCCAAUCGCCCAUCCAAACCCACCCUAAGUGAUAACUUUCAAAUUUAGAGAAACCCUGAAAUAAAAAAUGGGCAAUCCUAAGUCAAAUCCUAUUAUUUUAUUAUUUUACAAAAAUAAACAUGAAUAAAGGUUCAACAAGCGAGAAUAAUAAAAAAAGAAAAGGAUAGGUGGAGAGACUCAAUGGAAGCUAUUCUAACAAAUGGGAUUGACUCUUGGUAAAGGAAUUCUUAUAUCGAAUUUUGAAACUCUAGAAAGGAUGCAAGAUAUACCUAUUUUUUAUAGGUAUACUAAU